rnacentral:rRNA from 1 species
CCUACGGGUGGCAGCAGUGGGGAAUAUUGCACAAUGGGGGAAACUCUGAUGCAGCGACGCCGCGUGCGUGAAGAAGUCAUUCUUUAUGUAAAGCUCUAUCAGCAGGGAAGAAAAUGACGGUACCUGAGUACGACUCCCCGGCUAACUCCGUGCCAGCUGCCGCGGUUCCACGUAGGGGGCAAGCGUUAUCCGGAUUUACUGGGUGUAAAGGGAGCGUAGACGGCAGUGCAAGUCUGGAGUGAAAGGCGGGGGCUCAACCCCCGGACUGCUCUGGAAACUGUAAGGCUGGAGAGCAGGAGAGGUAAGUGGAAUGCCUGGUGUAGCGGUGAAAUGCGUAGAUAUUAGGAGGAACACCAGUUGCGAAGGCGGCUUACUGGACUGUAACUGACGUUGAGGCUCGAAAGCGUGGGGAGCAAACAGGAUUAGAUACCCUUGUAGUC